UUUUUUUUUUAGCACAGAGAAAAUUACUACUAUUUCGGUUAUCAAACAAGAUUGUUUGUCUUUCACUAAACUACAUGACAAUUUUUGGGUCCGGUUAUGGUGCAUAAGGUCAAGCUUAUGCACCGUGCAUAAGCCCAAGAUCAUUGCUUAGCACACCUCUGUCCAUUACUUCGUACACCCCAACAGAUCCCCACCCACGUGAACAACACAUUUCAGAAAAUAAAUCACUCGUUCAUCAUCAAACAAAACUCGCUCCCUCUUCGCCAUCGUCGUCGCCAUUAACGCCUUCCAUCUGCAACAACACGGUUUCGCAAAAGCUCGCUCGCUCUUUCAGACACGGUCACCGUCGCCGAGAAAUAUCUUCAAUGUCGCCGUCAUUCAAAACCAUUCAUCAUUCAUCACCAUAUACAUAAUUUGAAUGAACCAACCACAAAAUGGUGAAAAGAAAACAGGUUUGACAAUUUUUGAAUUGAGGAUUACGUUCAUCAUUCAUCACCAUUCCCUAAUUGAAGAACACUGAACGAACCAAAUGGUGAAAAGAAAACAGAUCCUGAGGCUUCUCAAAUUUUCCUUCAUGGUGUUCUUGAAGCUUGGAAAAAAGCAGAGGAGUUGCUUCUUUCUAAAGGUAUUAGUACAGACCCAUCUUCCGUGACACCAUCUAAGUCUUCAAAAGCAGCUGCUGUCGGUGAACCAUCUGAUGGGGUGAAGUCCACUGCACCAAAGUUCAAAGAAAGACCAAAUCCAAUUAAGUCAAAGAAGCGACUUAAAAAUGAUUAUGAAAAAGCUAGACAAAGGCAGAAAUUCCUUAUAGAACGGAAGAAACAAAAGAGAGAUGACGAGGCUUUAAAAAGAAAAAUUGUCACUGAUUGACUAUUUUUAUUUUAUAAGUUUGUACUAGAGUUUGUUACAAAAUUAUUAGACAUGGUGAACAGCCAAUUUAUUGGGAAUUAUUCAUUUCAUGUUAUUUUGUUGGUACGUAUUGAUGAUUAUAUCAUACCAAAAUAUCAAAAUAUAUCAUAUAAAAAUAUUGCA